AUGCAGAAACAAAGAGUCUGUGCCCAGUCCAAGUUAAAAGGUGUUUAUUGUGAUUAUUAUUUACAUUUAUAUCAUCUUUGGGCGGCCGUGACCCUGCUGAAGUCCAGAGGAGACCUCCAGCCCCCCGGGGGGUCCCUGACUCUGCUCUGCCGCGCCUCCGGGUUCAAUUUCGGAAGCUCCUACAUGCAGUGGGUCCGCCAGAGUCCCGGGAAGGCGCUGGAAUGGGUUGGAAUGAUCAGCAGCAGUGGCAGCAGUACCUGGUACGCGCCGUCAUUCAAGGGCCGGUUCUCGAUCUCCAGGGACAACGGGCAGAGCUCGGUGACGCUGACCAUGAACAGCCUCAAGGACGAGGAUUCCGCCGUUUAUUUCUGUGCCACAAACACUGGUGCUGGUUAUGCUGAUGCUUAUGCUGUUGAUGGAUUUGAUCCAGAACCGGCCCCGCACCGAGGCCCCAUAGAAGGUGUAACCUCCAUCGCCGCUGAUCAGUGCCACGAAUUCAAACCCUUCCCGAAGCUCUGCCGGACCCAUCUCAUUUCGUAA